AUGGGUGACUUGAAUGAUAUCCUGUAUGAUAUUGAUAAGUGCAAUGCUAAUAUUAAUUUUUGUUGUAUGUCUGCUUUUCGUGCUUUGAUAAAAAAUUGUGGGUUCUUUGACAUUGGUUAUAGUGGGCCGGCUUACACUUGGCGCAAUAAGCAGCACACAGUUAAUCCUAUCUAUCAACGUUUGGAUAGUUGUUUAGUCAAUCCGUGGUGUACUAUUUACCCUAAUACGAAAGUGCUAAAUUUACCUAUCAUUUUAAGCGAUCAUGCGCCUAUUCUGAUUUCCACAGAGGGUCAGUUUUGUAAACCUAAGCAAUCUUUCAAAUUUGAAAAU
rnacentral:rRNA from 1 species